UACGAGGGGGGCAAGCGUUGUUCGGAAUUAUUGGGCGUAAAGGGUGCGUAGGCGGUUCGGUAAGUCUCAAGUGAAAUCUAUGGGCUCAACCCAUAGUCUGCUUGAGAAACUGCCGGGCUUGAGUGUGGGAGAGGUGAGUGGAAUUCCCGGUGUAGCGGUGAAAUGCGUAGAUAUUGGGAAGAACACCGGUGGCGAAGGCGGCGACCUGGUCCUUGACUGACGCUGAGGCGCGAAAGCGUGGGGAGCAAACAGG
rnacentral:rRNA from 1 species